GUAAUGUUCUUUCUCAUUCCUUUUCAGUUAUGUGUUGAUGGUUAACAGCUUACACCCUAAAUUAAAAGUUGUUAGCUAUUUUGUACUCAGUAAGUGAAUAACCUAAAUUAACCAUCAUAUCUUGCUUAUUUUGAAACUUACUCAGACUUUCAAUGACACUAUUUUUAAAAGUUUUAGGCUCAGCUUUCCAGGUCAGUAUAUUUCUGACAUUUGUUGUUUGCUUUUGUACAGUAUGCUGAAGGUUUUUAAUCGAGCUGAGGCGUUUGACGACCAUACCUCCAAUACUAAGUAGUUUGAUUAUGGUGGUUCUUCUUCUUCCAAGGCUUUUCCGAACCCAAAGCAUUCUUGAUUAUGAUCUGUAUACUUACAAAUUCGGAACAAUAUUGGGCUGCGAUCCAAGACCCAGAGGGAUGUCAUUAAAGGUUUGACGAAUCUGUGAAUGUCAAGCAGCUUGAGAACAUAUUGUGAUCCAUGUCAACUUCCACUAUCGGAUAGCCUAUCCGCAGCAAAGCGCGGGCACGCUUUCUAGUUUUCUUUUGUUCUUUGGUUGAUGAUAAGUGUUAUUCAAUUGAUCAAACAUGUUUAUCAGCUAUAUAUGUAUUUGAAUCUGGUAUUCAUGUUUUGGUGCAUUUUAUAUAAAAUUUAUUAUUUGGCUUCUUCUGCUCCAAAGAUAAAAAUCUGGUAUGCAAAAUUGCAUGCCAGGUUUUUUUUUUAUCAAUGAUAUGCACUUUGCGACGGCAUUGUUGCCGUCGCCAAAGACCUGACUGCAAAAUUGUAGAUGGCGUAGCCAUUGCUCUUUGCGACGGCAUAAAUACCGUCGCCAAAAUUCAUGCGACAGCGUAAUUGCCGUCGCAAAUAGCAAUGGCGACGCCACCAACG